GAUGAAGAACGUAGCGAAAUGCGAUAAGUAAUGCGAAUUGCAGAAUUUCCGUGAGUCAUCGAAUCUUUGAACGCACAUUGCGCCCUCUGGUAUUCUGGAGGGCAUGCCUGUCCGAGCGUCAUUGCUAUACCUCAAGCCCGGCUUGUGUGAUGGACUCACUGUCUUAUUGGACAGUAGCCCCAAAGGCAGUGGCAGGGUCGCAGUCCGGUCUUUUAAAUGCGUAUGGGGCAUUGUCACCCGCUUGAAAGCUGGCCGACCCUUUAAGCCUAUUGUGAGAGCAAUCCACAAUUUUUUUUUUUCUUGAUGGACCUCGGAUCAGGUAGGGAUACCCGCUGAACUUAAGCAUAUCAAUAAGCGGAGGA
rnacentral:misc_RNA from 1 species